rnacentral:lncRNA from 1 species
UAACAACUGUUUGAGAUAUCUUUCAAUUGAUGGAAUCAUCUGCUGGUUCUGUACUUUCUGCAAAUUCCACGAAUAUCAGCCUGCCAUCAACUAUCUAGUUGCAGUAACAGCCAACCCAUUCAUAUGCAUGGAGAAAAGGAGGAAAGUAAGUGCUCUAUACCAUGCAUUCAUAUCAACAAAGAUUGAAUUCAUUCUUCUUUUUCUCUUUUAUAGUCAUGUUAUAACAAAAAAGAAUUAGGAACUUCAAUAAUGGUUCUUGAAUCUGAAAAUUUGCAGAAGAUUUUACCUAAAUUGAAGCUAGAAACUUUUGAAGGGAAAAGAGCCUGAGGUGUGGAUUACGAAAUGUGUCAGUACUUUGAGGUGUAUAAGUUAUUCAUGAUAGGAAGGACAGAUUCUUGGUUUCAUAAAUAGAAUAGUGGUGAAGACGGGUAUCCUGUGAGAAAUUUGCAAGAAAUUUUUAUCCAAUAUUUGGGGAUGAAAGGUUAGAUGAUACUUAGAAGGAAUUUAUGAAGUUAAGGAAUUGAGGGAGAUGUGGAAGAAUACCAAGAGAAAAUUUGGGGAUCUAAGGAUCUGGAUGAAGAGAUUGAUGCCUAACAAGAACAGCUGAUUGCUCAGCACAGAGAGCCAAGAGCGUUUAAAGUAACUCCAGACCUUCUGCAACAACAGACCCUAACCUGACUGACAAGCCCUCUCAAAUAACAUCAGAAUUUUCCUUAUUCCCCAAAACCUCCUGCGAAAAUAAAACUAGAUCUGACCAUUCAGUGGUAAUAUGCACUAGGGGCAACCCAUCAAAUUAAAAUAAGCUAAAUUUCCUGUGGAAGGCCAGGGAUCUUAAUUUGAGGUUAAAUCUAUCCCAUAAUUCAACAUGUUAAAACUACCAAACAUAAAUUAACCCUGUAUGUAUUAUUAUCAAACCCCAAGCAUGCUAGCGAAUCAGUGCCAAAGUUUGCAAGUCAUGGAUGAAAUGACU